rnacentral:rRNA from 1 species
UACAGAGGUGGCAAGCGUUGUUCGGAAUUACUGGGCGUAAAGGGCGCGUAGGCGGCCUUCUUAGUCGGACGUGAAAUCCCCGGGCUUAACUCGGGAACUGCGUCCGAUACUGGAAGGCUGGAGUUCGGGAGAGGAAUGUGGAAUUCCAGGUGUAGCGGUGAAAUGCGUAGAUAUCAGGAGGAACACCGGCGGCGAAGGCGGCUUGCUGGACGGCAACUGACGUUGAGGCUCGAAAGCGUGGGGAGCAAACAGG